GGAUUGAACGCUGGCGGCAUGCCUUACACAUGCAAGUCGAACGGCAGCGCGGGGCAACCUGGCGGCGAGUGGCGAACGGGUGAGUAAUAUAUCGGAACGUACCCUGGAGUGGGGGAUAACGUAGCGAAAGUUACGCUAAUACCGCAUACGAUCUAAGGAUGAAAGUGGGGGAUUCGCAAGAACCUCAUGCUCCUGGAGCGGCCGAUAUCUGAUUAGCUAGUUGGUAGGGGUAAAGGCCUACCAAGGCAUCGAUCAGUAGCUGGUCUGAGAGGACGACCAGCCACACUGGAACUGAGACACGGUCCAGACUCCUACGGGAGCAGCAGUGGGAAUUUUGGACAAGUGGGCGCGAAGCCUAGACUCCAGCAAUGCCGCGUGAGUGAAGAGGCCGUUGGUUAGUAAGCUCUCGUUGUACGAGGAAGUAACGGUCGUCUACUAAUACAGAUGAUAAUGACGUACUAGAAGAAGUAAGACGACCG
rnacentral:rRNA from 1 species